rnacentral:tRNA from 1 species
UCCCUGGAGGUCUAGAGGUUAAGACUCCCUGCUUGUAAAGCAGAGGGUAUAGGUUUGAUCCCUGGUCAGGGAA